GUCAAUUUAUAAUAUAUAAAUGAGAUACAAACCUCAUCUUAUAAGCCGAUUUUGUGAGGUGAGUUAGACUUAAAAAUCCACUUUCUAAUAAAAACAGAACCUUCUACAUUCACCCAAGUUUUUUCUAUCUUGCAAUGAUAUUUUCCUUAUCCUCUGGAUUUGAGACUAAUUCCAAUCUUAGUACUAUGAUGGUUGCUGAUUUAAUUAGUUUCUGUACAUAUGGGUGCAAAAUUUCUGGUCAUUACGACAACCCAUAAUGUAGUUCUACUUUAAAACCUUAUAACGGAUCCCAAACAUAAGAGUUCAGAAACGAAUAUAUAUUCUGCUCCUUUUGAACAUAUAGGACGUGAAAUUUACUGAUGCAUCAG
rnacentral:lncRNA from 1 species